rnacentral:rRNA from 1 species
UACGGGGGGUGCGAGCGUUGUCCGGAUUUAUUGGGCGUAAAGCGAGCGCAGGCGGUUAUAUAAGUCUGAAGUUAAAGGCUAUGGCUGAACCAUAGUCCGCAUUGGAAACUGUUUAACUUGAGUGCAAGAGGGGAGAGUGGAAUUCCAUGUGUAGCGGUGAAAUGCGUAGAUAUAUGGAGGAACACCGGUGGCGAAAGCGGCUCUCUGGCUUGUAACUGACGCUGAGGCUCGAAAGCGUGGGGAGCAAACAGG